GGCUCAUAAUUGGAGUCUGGCAUGAAAGAAUUAAUGGGUAACGACUGUCUUUAAUAAUAGUAAAGAAUUUAUUAAGUAGGUGAAAAUACCUACAAUUAUAUAAUAGACGAGAAGACCCUAGAAAUUUUAUAAAUAAAGUAAUACAUACACUCUAAUAUUUUGUUGGGGCGACAGAAUAACAAAUAACUUAUUUUUUAACUAUUAGAAUUAUAUAGUAAGGGAAACUAAAUUACUCUAGGGAUAACAGCAUAAUUUGUAAAAGUUUGUGACCUCGAUGUUGGACUAGGGCUUUUAAUAGUCAGAAGCUAUUAAGGUGAGCUCUGU
rnacentral:rRNA from 1 species